AUUCGUUCGUCAAAGCAGUAUUGAACGGAAGUCGAAUCCAAAAUAAAGCGUCUAAUGGGUACAUACUUUCGUGGGGUCACGUUCAAUAAUUCUUUCAUGACUUAAAACAUUGAGGAAUACAGUUAGAACUACCAGCGCAUACUCAUUGGCAUAGACAAGGUGAUGGGGGCUUAUAUAACCCCCAAUGAACAGAGGUAAUGACCUCACAAAAAGACUAAAUCAGGGUAGAAAUUAGGAGAAGGGGGCGAUAGCUAGUUGGCUACUUAUGUUACUACCAAACCCAACUUGUUUAAUCUUCAACUUGUUCACCAAUUCUUCUGAGGAAAAUAAUGUCAACAUUGGUUGCUUAGCAAUUUCGACACUUUGAUUUGAGUAUUUUCCUGUGUUUUAAUGAGCAUCGCAGUGUUAUUGAAAAUAUUCUCACUAAAUAAAGCAUUAAAAUUGCUUAUGAACCAAGAAAGACUGCAAAGUAUUAUGUUUAUGCCAGUCAACAUCUGACAGAAUGGAAGGUCUACAGACAUUGGAGACCUAAUUCAUUGUUUUGUGGACAUAUCACCAUAAAGAAUGAAUCAUAUAAUCAUCUAUAGAAAUGCAGGGACCUAAUUCCUAUUUGAUACAAGUUUUUGUAACUCGAAA